rnacentral:rRNA from 1 species
GUAGGUGGCAAGCGUUGUCCGGAAUUAUUGGGCGUAAAGCGCGCGCAGGCGGUUCUUUAAGUCUGAUGUGAAAGCCCACGGCUCAACCGUGGAGGGUCAUUGGAAACUGGAGAACUUGAGUACAGAAGAGGAAAGCGGAAUUCCACGUGUAGCGGUGAAAUGCGUAGAGAUGUGGAGGAACACCAGUGGCGAAGGCGGCUUUCUGGUCUGUAACUGACGCUGAGGCGCGAAAGCGUGGGGAGCAAACAGGAUUAGAUACCCUGGUAGUCCACGCCGUAAACGAUGAGUGCUAAGUAUUAGGGGGUUUUCCGCCCCCCUUAGUGCUGCAGCUAACGCAUUAAGCACUCCGCCUGGGAGUACGGCCGCAAGGCUG